rnacentral:lncRNA from 1 species
CGCUCUCUCUGAAGGCUCUCCGGGAGCAUCUUUCCUCGCCUCUGCCUAGCUUCGGGCGGUUGCCGGCCAUCUUGGUUCCUUGGCUUGCAGCUGCGUCACUCCAGUCUCUGCCUCCCUCGUCGUGUGGGGUUCUCCCUGUGGACCGGGCCCUAAGUCUCUUCUCCUCUUCUUAUGAAGACAUCAGUCAUAUUGGAUUAAGGGCCCAUCUCCUCCAGCAUGACCUCAUCUUAACUUACAUCCUAAUUACAUCUGCGAAGACUGUUUCUAGAUAAAUUUCCAUUCUCAGCGUGGAAAAAAGAUUGCCAGCAAAGGCUCUAAAACAUAUAUUGCAAAUUGAGAUGUCAUGGGGACCAGGCGAGUAACAGAAAGGAGAGAAACCAGCUGGAAUAAGAGACGAGUAAUGAGGUGUCCAUUACCAGAAACUUUCUACGGGUAAAUGCAUGCCGAUAAUACCGUGCCCCGGACGGGGUAAGAAACUCCAACGUGUCCAGCUGGUGGCUAGUGUGGAUCUUACCUGAGCAACUGGGAUCCGGAAUGUUCUCUGAGCUCAGUAUUGGAGGGGUUACCCAGAGACUGUCAGGAGGUUGGAGAGUUUACCUUUCUCAGACCGUCCCUGUGAUCAUAGACAACCCACUUCAUCGCUCUGAGUCACAGUUUUGCAUCUUUUAGAUGAGAAGACUCUAAGUUGUCGUUUUCAAGAUUCCACUGACUUUUAAAAAAAGUUUAAAAAAAUUUUAGUACAAAAUACCCUC